rnacentral:lncRNA from 1 species
AGCGCUUCCUUGACUGUUCUAGCAAGCUCCGUGAGAGCCAGCUGCCCAGGAUCCAGGCUGGGGACCCGGUGGCACGGUACUUCGGGAUCAAGCGAGGGCAGGUUGUGAAGAUUAUCCGCCCCAGUGAGACAGCCGGCCGGUACAUCACCUACCGCCUGGUGCAGUAGCUGCAGGGGAAAUCUAGUACUCUGGAGACUGAAGCAGGAGGAUUGCUGCAAUUGAAGGCAAGUUUGUGGACUCUUCGGUGUUGGGAGAGUCUCUUCUGGAAAACUGUGGAAAAGAGUCCGCGCGGCACAGUGCGCAGGGAGACCCCAGGAACCUUCUGCUCUGCCCUUCACAGCUCACCAGCAACCUCACAGAGGACCAGGCCAGAGCCGCUGCUCCCAUGAGCCCCAGCGUGUGGGUCAUGGCUUUCAUCCUGCAGGAUGAGCAACUUCAGAGCUUCAGCCCCACCCCCACUCCUCGCCCUGAGGUCACUGCUCUGUUAAGAGUUCUCCAUGACUCCCCGGAGAAUUAAAAGCUACUUUGGGAU